GUACCUGUAAUUAUAAGUUUAGUAUACGCUUACACCUUACACAUGUAUUACACCUUACAUUCUCUUUUCCCUUUUCCCUUCCAUUCUCUGCAUGUACACUUAUGCUCUCUCUUUUUAUUAUUUUGUUUCUCAACAGGUACUGAAAAUUCUCGUAUUUGGUUGAGAUCUAAACUAGGCAUAAGGCAUAAGGCAUUUUGAAGUCUUUUACCAGAAUCCGCUCGACCGCAUCAUCAAUCCGAGACAUAGGUACCUCCCCUGUCUCCACCAAGAACACUAGAUCCUCAAGAAACUCCUCAAAUCUGUAAGGUAGUGGAAAUGGAUCCUACGGACAACCAAGACGAGUUAAUGCACGAGCUCAUUCAUGGUAGUACUGGGCACAUAGCUCCAGAGUUUGAUGAGGACGAGAACGAUGGCAGCCAAUUUUUAAACUUGCAUUAUCAUGGCGACGAGGAGCAAGAUAUUAGUGGGGAGGAAGAAGGAAAUGUCGAGGAAGCCGAGGUAUAAAAGUU